rnacentral:rRNA from 1 species
UACGGAGGGGGCUAGCGUUGUUCGGAAUUACUGGGCGUAAAGCGCGCGUAGGCGGCUUUGUAAGUUAGAGGUGAAAGACCGAAGCUCAACUUCGGAAUUGCCUUUAAGACUGCAUCGCUAGAAUUGUGGAGAGGUAAGUGGAAUUCCGAGUGUAGAGGUGAAAUUCGUAGAUAUUCGGAAGAACACCAGUGGCGAAGGCGACUUACUGGACACAUAUUGACGCUGAGGUGCGAAAGCGUGGGGAGCAAACAGG